rnacentral:lncRNA from 1 species
CUCAAUUUCCUUUUUCACUUUGCCCCAUCUGCCUGAGUGAAUCAAGGGAAACCCCAGUUUUUGAAAAAACUGCUUCUUUUUAGUUAACGGUUAUACUGGGAACUUUCUGACCUCACCAGAAGCUAAGAUUGGUGUUCAAUCUCAAGUAUUUAUGAACAUAUUUCUCUAUCCACAGAAAUAUAUACUCUGAAAAAAAAAGGACGAGGUUCCUGGUCCUCUUGACCACUGGUCAACAUAGAGUAAACACACAAUGAGGCUUGAAGAAACUCAGAGUAAA